CAAGUUUCCAUGUGUUAGGGUUAAGGGUUAGGAUUAGAAGUUAUGGUUAGGGUUUUAGGGUUAGGAUUAGAGGUUAGGGUUAAGGGUUGGGGUAAGGGUUAGGGGUUAUGGUUAAGAUUAGGAUUAGGGGUUAGGGUUAAGGGUUAGGGUUUAAAGGUUAGGAUUUUGGGUUAGGAUUAGGAUUAAGGGGUUAAGCGGUAGUGGUUAGGAUUAAGGGUUAGGUUAGGGUUGCGGUAAGGGUUAGUGGUUAUGGUUUAGGAUUAGGGGUUAGGAUUAGGGGUUAGGGUUAAUGGUUAGGGCUGGGGUAAGAGUUAGUGGUUAUGGUUUAGGAUUAGGGUUAAGGGUUAGGAUUAGGGUUGGGGUAAGGGUUAGUGGUUAUGGUUUAGGAUUAGGGGUUAGGGUUAAGGGUUAAGAUUAGGCGUUAGGGUUAAGGGUUAGGUUUAGGGUUGCGGUAAGGGUUAGUGGUUAUGGUUUAGGAUUAGGGGUUAGGAUUAAGGGUUAGGGUUGCGGUAAGGGUUAGUGGUUAUGGGUUAAGAUUAGGGGUUAGGGUUAAGGGUUAGCAUUAGGGUUGGGGUAAGGGUUAGUGGUUAUGGUUUAGGAUUAGGGGUUAGGGUUAGGGGUUAGGAUUAGGGUUGUGGUAAGGGUUAGUGGUUAUGGUUUAGGAUUAGGGGUUAUGGUUAAUGGCUGCGGUUGAGGUAAGGGUUAGUGGUUAUGGUUUAGGAUCAGGGGUUAGGGUUAGGAUUAGGAUUAGGGUUGGGAUAGGGUAAAUGGUUAUGGUUAAGGGUUAGGAUUAGGGGUUAGGGUUAGGAUAAAGGGGUUAAGCGUUAGAGGUUAGGGUUAAGUUAGGAUUACGGGUUAGGG
ensembl:lncRNA